GAAAAAUUAUAUCAUACAAUAAGUUCAAAUCAUUUCUCAACAAUUUUGGCGGGUGUGAAUAAUGUAUAAUAAUAUAAUUGGAGGAGAAAUUCAUAAUAGAUCCCCAGCGACAUUACCAACACGGACAGUUAUUAUCGUUCCUUUGGGAAAUAACCGGAUCCCCGCGGCCUAUAGAGGGACGGCGCAAGUGCAGCUCGAGGCAGUCUGUCUCAACACGCGAGGAGCCGUACGUACGCGAGAAUAGUCGAGGAGAGUACCGACGCGAGUCUCGCGGUCAGCGCGCAGUCGGACAGUCGGAGUCUGAAGGAGGAGGAGUAAACAGUUAGUCAACCAGACCGCGCGUGGAAGGAGGUGGUGUGAGUGAGAACGUUGGUAAAGAACAAGCAUUGGAAGCGUCGGGCAGCAAGAGGCCCGCAGGACACAGAAGAACGAGCAGUCCAAGUGAAGAGUAAUCCUCGGAGUGGAGGAGCAAGAACCUGGCGUGUUCGAAAGGGACAGUGGAAUCAGUGGUCGGCAAAGGUGGUCCCAGGCCGAGCGUUGCCUCAACCCGUGGACGAUACACCUUGCCCCAUAACAUCCUAAUCCCGGUCAGGUCGACACGUCGUCCAUUGUCAAGGAAGCAAACGCCGCAGGAGCAGCGCGAUCACCGGAGGAGUCAGCCGUUAAAACAUUACAAUAAAUCGACUAAAAUUAGAACCUCUGCUUUUCCUUGGUCGUGCAAUCACACAAAUCAUAAAUUAGAAAAUCAGUUCGUUACAGCCAUUCAAUGCAAAAUUAAGGACUUUUUGUUUACCUUUAUGGAUUUUUUUAAUCGUUUAUAUGUUUUUUAUCAACAUGAAGAAAAUAAUAAGAAAACUAUUAACAAUGAACGAUAAAAACAACUGAAUCCAAGUUUGCGUAAUUUUGACACUUUCAAAAAAUUCUUUGCACACUUUUAUUUUGUUUUCUAUUUUGCUCCCUUUCCGAGAAAUUUCUAUAAACAAAUUGUACAUAAUCGUCGUUUAAGCUUUAUGCGUUGUGUAAGUAGCCGAUUUUUAUGGAUUUGGUUGUGAAAUUUGCUCAAUUUUGCAUCGUUGUGAAAUUUAGAAAUGCCUGGCAAUAGAUUGAGUUUUGCAAUAGUUCAACCAAAGACACUAGAAUAACAAGAUGCGUAACGCCAUACGAUUUUUUGGCACACGAUUUUUUCGCCGUGGCUCUAGAGGUGGCUCCAGGCUCUCUCGAAUUUUUGUUAGAGAGCGAGAGAGCGGAGAGCGCUACAGCGAACAGCUAUUUUCAUCGCAUAAAGUGAUAGCAGACAACUGUAUGUGUGCACACGUAUGCUCAUGCAUUGUAAAUUUGACAACAUAUGCCCUUCACCUUAGAAGUUCUUUGACUUUAAAUCUAUAUUAUUUUUGAUCAAUUGGCACCAUGCGAAAAAUUCUUGUUUUGCAUUAUUAUUAUUAUAUGAAAAUAGAUUAGAAAUAGCCAAAUCUAUGUACAUAUCAGAAAAAUAAAUUUCAAAAAUGACUUUAUAUAAGAAUAUUUGUCAUUAGAGUAUUCAUCUUGCGGCGUGUGAAAAAUUAAUAAGGCAAUGAUUGUUGAGUGCUUGUGUCCGCACUUCGUGCCUCAAGAUAUGAACCAAGGAAAGACACUAGAAUAAUUGUAGUGUCUUUGAUAUUACUUUUGCAAUAAACAGUUAUCAUAUUUAAUUAUUUAGUAUAUUUAUUAAAUCAUUUGACUUAAUAUGAUGUAACAUUAACAUUAAAAGUGUUUCAAAAAAAAUAUUUCGCUUUUAAAAUAUUGUCAGAUGAGAGACAAAUUAGAAUUAAACAUAAAUAUAAAUGUGUAAACGGUAGCUAAUUCGAGCGGCGAUUUUAACAAACAAAUUUAAUAAGCUUUAAAAUUAUAAAAGUCAGGUCGCGAAUUUUUAAAAAUUAUUUUAUUUUAUCAUAUUGCUACGAAAUUGGCAAAAACUACCCUAAUAUGUACAAUGUAAAUUCGUUUCUUCGAUCAGAAUUGAUUUCGGCCCGAAAACCUUCUUCUAGCACAACACACACACAUAUACGCGUUCUCGUCUCUUGUUUUUACUCACACAAGCAAGCAAAUUCUAUUUUUAGAUUUCUUACGCUCUCAGCGUGAGCGAGCGGAAAGAGAGCAACUUUGGCCGUCUCUAAAAAAGUGGCUGCAUAGUGCAAAACCAAUGUAUGGCCGUUACGCAUCUUGUUAUUCUAGUGUCUUUGGUUCAACUGAUUUAUUAUAAUCACCAUUUGGGAAAAUCUGUCACGAAAUUGUCAGAAAUGUUUUCUGCAUCGCGGAGAACAGUUUAAUUGCGCAGAAAACAAGGGCAGAUUGGAAUCAAAUUGUGGAACAGAAGAAGUGUGACCCCCAGCAUAAGGCGCAUAAUGUGCGGAACUGCCUGCUUUACAACUGCGGCAAGGUCAUCGAUAGAGUCCAGAUCUGAUGUGGGUUCAUUUGAAGAAAAAAGUCGCAAAAAGGUCACCAAACAACCGAUCAGCACUGAGCUGCUAUACUAGAAGAGUGGCAUAAGAUCCCACAACAAUAUGAUCUUUAAAAGUUAUUUUUUCAAUGAAAAAAACGCCUAUAAUAUGUUAUUAAUGCUAAGGGUAUGCAUACAAAGUAUUAGAAUUACCUCAAGCUUUUAUAAUUUGUUAUAAACUAUAAGUCUAAGAUAGCUUAAGUACUUUGUGCAAACAAUUUUUUUGUUGUUUUAGUUGUUUUUAGUUGUUUUUCUCGUUCAGAAAAUUUGUGGGUUCAUUUGAAGAAAAAGUGGCAAAAAGGUCACCAAACAAUUACCUCAAGUUAUUAUAAUUUGUUAUAAACUAUAAGUCUAAGAUAGCUUAAGUACUUUGUACAAACAAAUGUCAAAUCUGUACAAACUUGGAUUUAGUUGUUUUUCUCAUUCAUUGUUAAUAGUUUUGUUUUUUUGUUUUGUUUUACAUAUUGAUAAAAAAA
ensembl:ncRNA lncRNA:CR43266 long non-coding RNA:CR43266